AGAUUCUUGCACAACACAGUUUGACCUCCCAAACUGUGUCUCAGAUUUUUCCUAUUGUAUUUCAUUCUCUCAUAAAUCUACAAUGAAAUUUGCAACAAUAAUUCAUAAGAGACCACUAAAUUCAAUUGGGUAUAAAAUUUGUUCUAUUGAUGUUUUGGAAAUCUGAGACACAGUUUUGGAGUCAAGCUGUGUUGUACAAGAAUCU
rnacentral:sRNA from 1 species